UACGGAGGGCGCAAGCGUUAAUCGGAAUUACUGGGCGUAAAGGGUGCGUAGGUGGUUUGGUAAGUUAUCUGUGAAAUCCCCGGGCUCAACCUGGGCAGGUCAGAUAAUACUGCUGAACUCGAGUAUGGGAGAGGGUAGUGGAAUUUCCGGUGUAGCGGUGAAAUGCGUAGAGAUCGGAAGGAACACCAGUGGCGAAGGCGGCAUCCUGGACCAACACUGACACUGAGGAGCGAAAGCCAGGGGAGCAAACGGG
rnacentral:rRNA from 1 species